AUAUGAAUGGAUGUAUUCCAAUAUUAUACGUGUGUUUUGUGGUUGAGUUGAGUAUGAUUUUAGUUGAUGUUGCCGUUGCUGAAUGUAUGAUCUGAUUAGGGUGAUUAAUGUGUUAAAUUACUUAGCAUUACAUGAUGUUUUAUAAUGCUUAUUAUAUCGAUUGAGAAACUCACCCUUACAACUAUUUUUCAGGUAACGAGCAGUGAGUUGAGUAGAAGCUAAUGUUCGGAGUCUAGUGUAAUUCCUUAGUGGGUCAUGCUCUG
rnacentral:lncRNA from 1 species